GCGGCCUAUCAGCUUGUUGGUGAGGUAAUGGCUCACCAAGGCUACGACGGGUAUCCGGCCUGAGAGGGCGACCGGACACACUGGGACUGAGACACGGCCCAGACUCCUACGGGAGGCAGCAGUGGGGAAUAUUGGGCAAUGGACGCAAGUCUGACCCAGCGACGCCGCGUGAGGGAUGAAGGCCUUCGGGUUGUAAACCUCUUUCAGUAGGGAAGAAGCGAAAGUGACGGUACCUACAAAAGAAGCACCGGCUAACUAUGUGCCAGCAGCCGCGGUAAUACAUAGGGUGCAAGCGUUGUCCGGAUUUAUUGGGCGUAAAGAACUCGUAGGUGGCUUGUUACGUCGAAUGUGAAACUCUGGGGCUCAACCCCAGACCUGCAUCCGAUACGGGCAGACUAGAGUGUGGUAGGGGAGACUGGAAUUCCU
rnacentral:rRNA from 1 species